rnacentral:lncRNA from 1 species
UUGCCUUCUCCAGCCGCAGGAUGUGAGCCACCGGCAAGGAGGGACACCAAUAAGGCAUCCGAUAAGAUAAGUCUUAUAAAAUGUAUAGAUUUAUGUUAAUUGAGACUGAGCUAACAGAUGAGGAAUCCUAGUCAUUGGCCAAGCAGCUUUGAACCUAAUACAAGUUUCUGUGUAUUUAUUUGGGCCUAACUCGGGCAGGCGGCUGGUGUAAAGUUCACACGUGGCGGUGGGGCUCAGCGGCUUUUGGCGGAAAGAUUUAUUGUAACAGGGAAACCCUGUCAUUUCAUAACCAGAUCAAGCUCCCUGGAUCACUGUGCUGACAAAAGCUAAGAAGGGGAGGACUAGGACUCAGGCUCAGCUCUGCCCAAGUUGAGUCACUGUGAAGAAGUCAGAGCCUCUUUCCCUAUGGGCAGAUCUGCCUAUCUCAGGUAGAAAUCGUUCAUACUUUUUGUUUCCAAUUUGAAGUUUAUUACAGGAUGGUGAGAGCC